CCUAUGCUGCCGAGAAAAGCAUCGACGCGAGGUUUUAGCGGCCCGUACCCCAAACCGACUCAGGUGGUCAGGUAGAGAAUACUAAGGAGAUCGAGAGAAUCAUGGUGAAGGAACUCGGCAAAAUGCCCCCGUAACUUCGGGAGAAGGGGGGCCAUCCACUUAUUAGGACUUGCUCCGAAAGGGUGUGGUGGCCGCAGAGACCAGUGGGAAGCGACUGUUUACUAAAAACACAGGUCCGUGCGAACAUGCAAAUGGAUGUAUACGGACUGACGCCUCCCCGGUGCUGGAAGGUUAAGAGGAGAGGUUAGAUUUCGGUCGAAGCUUUGAAUUUAAGCCCCAGUAAACGGCGGUGGUAACAAUAACCAUCCUAAGGUAGCGAAAUUCCUUGUCGGGUAAGUUCCGACCUGCACGAAUGGCGUAACGACUUCCCAGCUGUCUCCACCAUGAACUCGGCGAAAUUGCAGUACGAGUAAAGAUGCUCGUUACGCGCAGAAGGACGGAAAGACCCCGUGACCUUUACUACAGCUUGGUAUUGGUGUUCGGUGUGGCUUGUGUAGGAUAGGUGGGAGACUGUGAAGCUCGGACGCUAGUUCGGGUGGAGUCGUUGUUGAAAUACCACUCUGGUCAUACUGGAUGUCUAACUACGGACCCUGAUCGGGUUCUGGGACAGUGCCUGGUGGGUAGUUUAACUGGGGCGGUUGCCUCCCAAAAAGUAACGGAGGCGCCCAAAGGUUCCCUCAACCUGGUUGGCAAUCAGGUGGCGAGUGUAAGUGCACAAGGGAGCUUGACUGUGAGACUGACAGGUCGAGCAGGGACGAAAGUCGGGACUAGUGAUCCGGCAGUGGCUUGUGGAAGCGCUGUCGCUCAACGGAUAAAAGGUACCUCGGGGAUAACAGGCUGAUCUUGCCCAAGAGUCCAUAUCGACGGCAUGGUUUGGCACCUCGAUGUCGGCUCGUCGCAUCCUGGGGCUGGAGUAGGUCCCAAGGGUUGGGCUGUUCGCCCAUUAAAGCGGUACGCGAGCUGGGUUUAGAACGUCGUGAGACAGUUCGGUCCCUAUCCUCUGCGCGCGUUGGAGAUUUGAGAGGAUCUGACCCUAGUACGAGAGGACCGGGUUGGACGGACCUCUGGUGUGCCAGUUGUUCUGCCAAGGGCAUGGCUGGUUGGCUACGCUCGGGAUGGAUAACCGCUGAAAGCAUCUAAGCGGGAAGCCGGCCUCAAGAUGAGAUCUCCAUGGGUACUUGUGCCCGCGAGGCUCCCGGGAGAUGACCGGGUUGAUAGGCCAGAUGUGGAAGCACUGUAAGGUGUGGAGCUGACUGGUACUAAUAUGCCGAUGACUUG
rnacentral:rRNA from 1 species